rnacentral:rRNA from 1 species
CCUACGGGGGGCAGCAGUGAGGAAUAUUGGUCAAUGGGCGAGAGCCUGAACCAGCCAAGUAGCGUGCAGGAUGACGGCCCUAUGGGUUGUAAACUGCUUUUAUAAGGGAAUAAAGUGAGUCUCGUGAGACUUUUUGCAUGUACCUUAUGAAUAAGGACCGGCUAAUUCCGUGCCAGCAGCCGCGGUAAUACGGAAGGUCCGGGCGUUAUCCGGAUUUAUUGGGUUUAAAGGGAGCGUAGGCCGGAGAUUAAGCGUGUUGUGAAAUGUAGACGCUCAACGUCUGCACUGCAGCGCGAACUGGUUUCCUUGAGUACGCACAAAGUGGGCGGAAUUCGUGGUGUAGCGGUGAAAUGCUUAGAUAUCACGAAGAACUCCGAUUGCGAAGGCAGCUCACUGGAGCGCAACUGACGCUGAAGCUCGAAAGUGCGGGUAUCGAACAGGAUUAGAUACCCUGGUAGUC